UACGUAGGGCGCAAGCGUUGUCCGGAAUUAUUGGGCGUAAAGAGCUCGUAGGCGGCCUGUCGCGUCUGCUGUGAAAUCCCGGGGCUCAACCCCGGGCCUGCAGUGGAUACGGGCUGGCUGGAGGCAGGCAGGGGAGAACGGAAUUCCUGGUGUAGCGGUGAAAUGCGCAGAUAUCGGGAGGAACACCGGUGGCGAAGGCGGUUCUCUGGGCCUUACCUGACGCUGAGGAGCGAAAGCGUGGGGAGCGAACAGG
rnacentral:rRNA from 1 species